ACUCCUACGGGAGGCAGCAGUGGGGAAUAUUGCACAAUGGGCGCAAGCCUGAUGCAGCCAUGCCGCGUGUAUGAAGAAGGCCUUCGGGUUGUAAAGCACUUUCAGUAGGGAGGAAGGUAGUGUAGUUAACACCUGCAUUAUUUGACGUUACCUACAGAAGAAGCACCGGCUAACUUCGUGCCAGCAGCCGCGGUAAUACGAAGGGGGCUAGCGUUGCUCGGAAUUACUGGGCGUAAAGGGCGCGUAGGCGGACAGUUAAGUUGGGGUGAAAGCCCGGGGCUCAACCUCGGAAUUGCCUUCAAUACUGGCUGUCUUGAGUACGGGAGAGGUGAGUGGAACUCCGAGUGUAGAGGUGAAAUUCGUAGAUAUUCGGAAGAACACCAGUGGCGAAGGCGACUCACUGGCCCGUUACUGACGCUGAGGCGCGAAAGCGUGGGGAGCAAACAGGAUUAGAUACCCUGGUAGGAUAGCGU
rnacentral:rRNA from 1 species